GUCUACGGCCAUGCCACCCUGCCUGAUCUUGUCUGAUCUCGGAAGCUAAGCAGGGUCGGGCCUGGUUAGUACUUGGAUGGGAGACCACCUAGAAAGACCAGGUGC
rnacentral:rRNA from 1 species